CUCAAUGUAACAAAUGAGCUUUAUUUAUAGGGAAAUAAAGUAGUUUAUGAACUAAGUUCAAUAACCUAAUAGUAUUAUGACCCACUAACACAUUUGCUAUUUGGACAUCUAUUAUUAAUAUUUAUAACAAAUAAUAUAUAUUUUUGAGUAAAUAAGAGAAUAUCCUCCUUCAAAAAAAAAAAACAGAGAGAGAGAAAUAUCUUGGAUAGUAACCAACUAACCCACACACACACAUUAAGCGUUUUCUAAAAUGUAAAACCCCUAUAAAUAGAGAUCACCAAGCAAAAUUGAAUCCGUACCCUCUCUCUCUCUCUCUCUCUCUACGAAAACAAAACCCAAUUUGUCUCUCAGAAUUAUCGAUUGGCGAUGGCACAGAACAAUUCGACGGCGGUGAUGGAUGUAGAUACCGUCGAAAAAGAGAAGAAAAUGAAAGUAAAAAAGUCGGAGAUGUUAAAGUUGAACAAAUUCAUCUACGAAGUUCUGAAGAAGGUUCACCCUGACAUUGCUAUAUCUGCCGGGGCUGUGGAAUUGAUGAACACUAUCUUAACAGACAUGAUGUUGAAGCUUGCUCAGAAAGCUUCGAAGCAUAACAAAAUACGUCACAAGAAUUCACCACUGGUCGAGCCUGACAUCUCCGCUGCGGUUAGGGAAGUCUUUCCCGAAGAUAUGGCCGGCCUUGCCCUCUUAUCCGCUUUGAAAUCAGUAAUCAGAAUGAAUGUAGAAGACAUCUGUCAUGGAAUCACUAAGAUGUAGAUAUAUAUAUAACUUCUUAUAAUUAAUGGAUUGGAAUACUCACUUAUAUUCCAGUGGAUGUUAUAAUUUUAGUUAUACUCCAAUGCUUGCUUGCUGUAGUUUAUUAUACAAUUGAUGAACCUAACUAACUAUUAUUCUAUUUAUAUUUCAAUGGGAAUAUUAUGGCUGCUUUCGUCUGAUUUUCCAUAGAGUACUAUGUAUGAAUCUGGUGGUGCUUAGACUCCUCAGCUAGGUUCAAUUUACUAAGCACCUGUUUCGAUUGACUUAUUUGAGCUUAUUUGGAUCUUCUCAAUCCCUUUAAUUUUUCUAUGAAAAUUGUAGUAUUGAUGAUACACUGUCUCAAAAUGUGUCCUGAUUCACAUUUCCAUAGUUUCCAUCUUGGGACCUCUAUAGGGUCUGUCAUAUUUAUUUUAGUUAUCACCUGGGUUACAGAGGGUUUUACUUCACUCCCACUCUGCUUCAGACUUCCAGAGGCUGUUUUGAUCUCUGCAAAAUCGUGGGUGCCAUAAAAAAUCAAGCUUUCAGCCAGGUUAGGCCAGCUCCCUCCCUCUCUUUCAAUUUAAUCAACUAUUUAUCGUGCAUUCAACAAUAAAACAGUGCAGGUUUGUUAUUUUGAAUCUUAAUUGUGUUUGUAUUCUAUAUUUUUUCAUCUUAUGAUUGAUUGGCACCCCUGUAACCAUGAGCAUUGAGACAGUAAGUACAGUGUUUGUCUCUUCCCCUUUCCAAGAAAUUUGACAAACAUGAGUUCUCUUCACACGUGAUAAGGACUUCAAACCUUAUUAGGUAUUUUUUACUACCUGUAUAUGCCAUAAAUUUGCAGGUUAGGCCAGCUCCCUCUCUUUGUGGUGCUGCUAGGUAUCAUCCUGUGAGGUUUCAUAUUGGUUUAAGUUCAUGCAUAAUGUUGCAGCUAGUUUUUGGUGUCUUUUUUCAGCUUGGUGUUGUGAAUCGUGCAAUGUUCGGCUGUUUAUAUUGUGCAUAUCAUCUGAUAUUUCUAUUUGCACUUGGCCACUUAAAACCAAAUCAAAAGGUUUUAAUUAUGCAAUAGUCAAUGGCCUGUGAGACAUUUUGGGUUGUUUAUGCGGUGAGUAGGAGUUUGGUGCAGGGACUGAUUUUCUUCAACAUUGCAAAAACUGGCGCUUUACCUGUCGGGUUUGGAAACGAAUGUGUUUAUGGGUUUGCUGUGUUUUCUGCUCCUGCUGCUUCAUGGGGUCUGCUUGGUUUUCGUUUACAUGUGAACAUGUUUUUUAAUCUCUCAAUUUAGUGUCUUUGGAACCUAAGCUUAUUAGUUUUUAUUUUUCUACUUUCUUUAGUAGCAAAGAUGGGGGCAGAACUGAUUGAGUUUCUGUUUAACAUCUGUUGUGGCUUAUUGUUAUUUCAUCAGUUUAGUACCCAUUGACGAUGUGUUGCCGCUGUGUUUGCUCUGCUGCAUUUGUAUAUUAGGACCCGAUCAAUGUGCAACAUUCAUUUGUAGUGCUUAGGUAGGUGUGCGGUGUGUGUCCUGUUGUGUUUAUUAAUCACAAUUUUGAAGGAUUCAAAGAUUUGUGAUGGAAAUGUUAAUUGGUUUUGGAUCUUUGAUUGAUCGCGAAGGGGAACCACGGUUUCCCUACUUAAUUAGCUAUAGAUGUAAAUUUUGCAGAGAAGAGGGAAUACCGUAAGAUUGUAAUAAUAAAAGAAGUAAAAAUCCCAUUUUCCUUAUUAUAAAAGAAGUAAUAACAAACUCAUAUUUCUUCGAUAAUCGAAAUUUCAAUACAUGGAAUGCUAACUUGUGCCCUUAAGGCACAAGUUAGUGAAUCAAAUAUAGAAAUAAUUUAUUGGAAUUUGUGCAUUACAUUUAAUCUUUAACUUUUUAAUGAAUUGAAUGCACAAAAUUUUAAAAAAUAUUUCUUCUUUGGGGUUUCUUAACAUGUGCCCUAAGGGCACAAGUUGGCUCUACCCUAAUAAAAAACAUGGUGAUUAACAUAAAACUAGAUACUUUUUCUAAUGAAUGAGCAACUUGUUUGACUUGUCUCCUUAUAAAAUUAACCUUUCGGCUCGGUUAUACAUUAAUAUAGUGUCUUGAAAUCAUGGGUCUGAACUCAAUUAUAGCUGAAAAACUACUAGUCAUUGCAUCAAUAACCAUACUGUCCGCUCACUCCAUAAACCUAUCCCUUCAGCUUCCUUUGUGAAAGGAUCCCAUUUGCUACUACUAAUCCACCUUCAUCUUUGAUGCAUAAACUGAUAGGAUAUCUAGAAUAAUGAAUAUAAAUGAGGUGGCCGAGCUAGUUCUAGAAGGUAGUAUGACUCAUCUUAAUCUAGAUGGGAUCUUUUAGGCAUAUUCUAUUAGUUAGUUAUUAAGCAGUGCUAUUGUGUAGUUAUUGUAGUUAUCUUAUUACGGGUAUGCACAACAGCACAAGUCUAUAUAAGCAUUGUAUGCCUCAUUAUUAGGAUGAAUGAAAAAUAAUAAUGAAUUUCCUUUCUUUUAUCUCUAGCUUCUACUUCUAAAUUCUGGAGUGUGAUCCCUACUCGAAUUGGGUCGUAUCAUUUCGGCCGAGAUUUCCCCACUGGAGCCACCUGACAGUGCUGCUAUCCCACCACCACUGCCCACCGUAUUAAACAUCUCUCCUACAUUGUUUUCUGGUAGUUGUAUUGAUAUGGUAUCUAGAUUUUGUCAUGGUGAAUUUUUUGGUUUUGUAACUAGGGAAUCAAAUGAAUAUGUGAAAAUUGAGUCCUCACCAAACACCUUUUACACUUUGCUGUAAUGCCAAUCAGACCCACUUUCUUUUGGAAAACAAACCUCUUUCAAAUCUUGUAAAUAUUUGUUCCUAUGUUUGGGAGAUCAUCUUUAGAGUCAUAUCUACUCUCCUUGGAUAAUGUUGUAUCAGUUGAUGUCAAUUUUGAUGGUUUGAAUAAUAGACAUUUUCAAACUACCUUAAUUGGUGUAAGACUAUAAGAAAUGGUAUGUUUUUAUUUUGUUUCAUAUUCGUUUAUUUUGUUUUAGAUAAGACUAUAAGAUCUCAUUAUUUAUAUAAAGUAUUAUGGUUAUUCAAAUUUAUAAUUGUUCUUUUGUACAAAUUCAGGAGUUCGAGAAGAAGAUAAAUGAAAUAUCUAUCUUGAAUUGAGAGACAGAAGCUAAUUAACAUUUUGGGGGGUCAAAUUCAGGGCAGGAAUUAGUGAAUGAUCUCAAGUCAGUUAUCCUUGCACAAUAAGGUAAAUUAAUUUUGAAUGUCUAAUCUUUCUUAGAUGUAUAGUGCAGUGGAAAUUUGGAGUCUUUAGAAUGAAUGAAAAGUAGCUUGCUUUUCUCUUGGUUAGCACCAUUUUUAUUUCGAUUGUCAUAGCCCCAGUAUUAUUACUUGAUUAGUAUUAUUUGUUUGAUGUUAUAGUGAUUUAUAGUGUCUUUCAAGCUAUAAUAUAUUAGUUUUGUUGUUUUUAAAUUACAGACUGAAAUAGUUUCUCCCAAAAAGUAAUAUAAUCUUGCCAGAUUAAUUUUAAAAAUGACAGAUGAACACAAAUUAUGAAAAUCUGAUUCUUCCCACUAUUUCCCUCCCUGUUCAGUUAAUUAUCAUAUCAUAAACACAACUAUUUGGUGAUAGAUUUUAUGCUAAGUUGAAACAAUUAGUUGUAAGUUUUAUGCUAUGACAAAAUUAGGAAUAUUUAAAACAGUCCACAAAAAUAUUAGCCUAUUUGGACAAUACAAAUUAUUGCAGUCAUUAGAUGCUUUUGAAAAUCUAAGAUCCUGUUAAAUGUGUAAAAUAAAUAGUCCACAAAAUUGUCACUUUAGUUUGAUUCUAUUUUACUUGAUAUCUCUUUAUCAAAUAAUUUGUUGUCAUUAGAAUUUAGGAUACCUUUGGAAUAUAUGUUCAUAAUCUAUAUGUUCUUUGUAUGGAUUGGCCUCUAAUUUAUUUUACAAGUGUCAUGAAAUUAAAUUUAUUGAUUUUAGAUUUGAAUAUACUUUAUAUAGAGUUUUUAGGUAGACAAUGAGAAGUUGUAAAAUCAUGAAUUAUAUAUUGGGCUUAAGCAAUGAUGAGAACAAUUGGGCAGGUUUGUGAUCGAUUUUAUUUACUCAACCACGUGACAUUGAUAAUUAUUUAUUUUAGGAAUCUUAUUUUUUCAUUGUCUAUUUUUUCAUUAACUUUUUGUAUAAUUAUAGUCAUAUAAUUCUCUAAAAACUUUACUUCAUUCAACAGAAUUGCAAGGCAUGUUUUGUUAAUUUCAUAACAAGUGAUACUUACUUACACAAAGCUAUAUUUUGCUUUCUUGAUAAAUUUGGUUCGUCCUGUGAAUGAUUGUUGGAGCAGUUAUUUGCAUGGAAUCACAGGGUAUACUAUAUAGUGUUGUGUUUGUGCCUUUUGGUUCUAUUUUUAUGGCGAGGUUGCUUUUCAUGUCCACUUGCCUUUGCUAAUUGCUAUCAGGUUCUGAUCUUAAGUUAGGGGACUAAAGUGCUCAAUAUAAUGGAUUAAUAUUUCACUUGCCUUUGCUAAUAAGGUUUUUUUAUGUUUGAAGGAUUGAUGAUUUAACGGAAAUUGGGUGAUAUAAAACUGUAGGUCAGUACCAAUGUUUGGUUUUUUCAUGUCUUAAUUCAGGUCGGUACCAAUGUGUGUGUCUCUUCGAAUUUUGUUAAAACAACUUAGUUGCAAAUGACCAAUGAAGUUGCGUGGUUGAGUUUUAGAACUCUUGAAUGUGGUUAAGUACAUUGAGUAAUUUCUAUAUGCUGAGAUCUGCAACCAAUGUUUUAAAACUAUGUUUUGUUAGCUUUUAUUCUAUCUCUAAAUCAGCUUUUUGUUUAUUUACUUGACAAUACUUAUGAUAUACUUGAGUAGAAUUAAACAAUAUGUUGCUUUAAUAAUGACUUGGUUUGCCUAUUUUUUUAUUCUUUUAUAUAACAAAAGUAACUCAAAUCCUACAAUAGUAAUAAUGUUUUACUUACAUACCUUGCAAAAUAAUCUCUUUAAUGUUGGUCAGCUUCAGCAGAAGGGUCUGAUUGUUGUGAUUCAGCAACGUAUGUGUAAGGGGGACGAUAUGAGGAUUACCGGUGCUCAAGGAUUCCCGUUAUUUGCACUGGUUGUGUGGUUGGAAAGCGGCACAGGGAAGCUAUUGCAAAGACGAGUUGAGUUCUUGGAGAGUUGCUCAAAGACUUAUAUCUAAACAUAGACAAAUUACUAUUUGACUUAAGACACAUUUUAUGUUUAUCCAUUUUAUUGGGAUAAUUUCAAAAGUACGCCCCCAAAAAAUACGAGGCUUUGAUAAUCUUCCUCCUCAUAGUGUAACUUGAAUAAUUACUAAUGAUAGAGAGACAACUAUUCUUAUGGGUAAACAAAUAAGGCUGACAUCAAUUUGGGUAACCAUAAUUACUUGCUUUUUUUAAUUUAUCUUUGUAACAUAAACAAAAUUAUUAUUUGACUUAAGAAUCACUAUUUGUCUACCCA